AAUCCCAGGCUCAUAGCGUAUAUUAAAGUUGUUGUGGUUAAAAAGCUCGUAGUUGAACCUUGGGCCUGGCUGGCCGGUCCGCCUCACCGCGUGUACUGGUCCGGCCGGGCCUUUCCCUCUGUGGAACCCCAUGCCCUUCACUGGGUGUGGCGGGGAAACAGGACUUUUACUGUGAAAAAAUUAGAGUGCUCCAGGCAGGCCUAUGCUCGAAUACAUUAGCAUGGAAUAAUAGAAUAGGACGUGUGGUUCUAUUUUGUUGGUUUCUAGGACCGCCGUAAUGAUUAAUAGGGACAGUCGGGGGCAUCAGUAUUCAAUUGUCAGAGGUGAAAUUCUUGGAUUUAUUGAAGACUAACUACUGCGAAAGCAUUUGCCAAGGAUGUUUUCAUUAAUCAGGAACGAAAGUUAGGGGAUCGAAGACGAUCAGAUACCGUCGUAGUCUUAACCAUAAACUAUGCCGACUAGGGAUCGGACGGUGUUAUUUUUUGACCCGUUCGGCGCCUUACGGGGAAAACAAAA
rnacentral:rRNA from 1 species